ACCAAGUAAUAUCCAUACAGCUUGAUCUCAUCAGACAUCAGAAACUAAGCGUGGUCGAGCCUGGUUAGUUCUUGGAUGGAAAACCGCUUGGAAUACCAGGUGCUACAGGUG
rnacentral:rRNA from 1 species